AGCUAAUAGCUCGAUUUGAGGAAGAAACAAGUUCCGUGGGACGAGAACAAGUAAAUAAGGCCUAUCAUGCAUAUCGAGAGGUUUGCAUUGAUAGAGAUAAUUUGAAGAGCAAACUGGACAAAAUGAAUAAAGACAACUCUGAAUCUUUGAAAGUAUUGAAUGAGCAGCUACAAUCUAAAGAAGUAGAACUCCUCCAGCUGAGGACAGAGGUGGAAACUCAGCAGGUGAUGAGGAAUUUAAAUCCACCUUCAUCAAACUGGGAGGUGGAAAAGUUGAGCUGUGA
rnacentral:sRNA from 1 species